AUGGACUUCCUGGGUCCAUGGCUCCAUCCAUUUCCAAUAACAGUAAUGCUGAUCUGCCCCUUUAUAAAUAAAAACAAAGCUGUUAGGAAGUUAUAUACUAUGGGAUCAUUUUCAGCAAACCAGACUGUGAGUAGCCUUUUCCUUCUGUUUGACCCAGGAGUGGAAUUUGAUGAGUGCAAUUUGAUGAUGCAGAAGGACACUGUGGUACCAAGGUUUGAGCAAGGGACUGUCUCAGCAAGCUUGACACAGUCUGAAACUUUGUGGCUGAGAUCCUCUGCUCUGUCGUAUGCAGAAAAUCAGAUUUUCAUAAUAGAGUUUCUGGAUGAAGAGUUUGCCACUGGAGGUAUCUCUGCCCCAGAGAAGGAGUGCAGUCCUUGCAUGUAUUUUGUCAGGCCUCUCUCUAUAGCCCUGGGCUCCUCACAUGUCCAGCUGGAAGCAGGGAUUUCACUGGGAUGGAAGGAAUAAAGCUGCUGCCCACCCUUGGACACAAGCUGACUUUGGAGGGGAUUUGAUGGCAUUUAAGCUUUAAGGUUGCACAAAGACAAGAAGUUUGGAUUGCUAUAGCUGUCUUACCUGGGUUUAGUUUCAGUCCAUUUCCUUAAGGAGCUACUUGUGAGCAUUAUUUGAAUAAGCAGCCUUUAAUAAUAAGCCCAGAUGUGCUUAUGAUUGUAGGUGAUCUGUUUCUACAGUGGGUGUUGAAUUACUCUUUCUGAUUUGGGAAUAAAACUCCUGAAAGAGAUUUUGAAACA
rnacentral:lncRNA from 1 species